UAACCACAGGGAACUGCUGCUGCUGAUAUACAACCAUAUUUAUACACGACUAUAUCACAGUGGCUGUUCUUUUUGGUUGC
rnacentral:pre_miRNA from 13 species